rnacentral:rRNA from 1 species
GAUGAACGCUGGCGGCGUGCUUAACACAUGCAAGUCGAACGGAAAGGCCCAAGCUUGCUUGGGUACUCGAGUGGCGAACGGGUGAGUAACACGUGGGUGAUCUGCCCUGCACUUCGGGAUAAGCCUGGGAAACUGGGUCUAAUACCGGAUAGGACGAUGGUUUGGAUGCCAUUGUGGAAAGUUUUUUCGGUGUGGGAUGUGCUCGCGGCCUAUCAGCUUGUUGGUGUGGUAAUGGCCUACCAAGGGGUCGUCGGGUAGCCGGCCUGAGAGGGUGUAAGGCGACAUUGGGGCAGAGAGACGGCCCAGACUCCUACGGGGGGCAGAAGUGGGGAAUAUUGCACAAUGGGGGCAAGCGUGAUGCGGAGACGCCGCGUGGGGGAUGACGGCCUUCGGGUUGUAAACUCCUUUCGCUCGGGACGAAGCGUUUUUGUGACGGUACCUGGAGAAGAAGCACCGGCUAACUACGUG